CCUACGGGGGGCUGCAGUGGGGAAUUUUGGACAAUGGGGGCAACCCUGAUCCAGCCAUGCCGCGUGAGUGAAGAAGGCCUUCGGGUUGUAAAGCUCUUUCGGCCGGGAAGAAAUCGCUCAAGCUAAUACCUUGGGUGGAUGACGGUACCGGAAGAAGAAGCACCGGCUAACUACGUGCCAGCAGCCGCGGUAAUACGUAGGGUAAGUGCGUUACGCGGAAUUACUGGGCGUAAAGCGUGAGGAGGCAUGGGAAAUCCCCGGGCUUAACCUGGGAACUGCGUUUGUGACUGUGGUGCUCGAGUGCGGCAGAGGGGGGUGGAAUUCCACGUGUAGCAGUGAAAUGCGUAGAGAUGUGGAGGAACACCGAUGGCGAAGGCAGCCCCCUGGGUCGACACUGACGCUCAUGCACGAAAGCGUGGGGAGCAAACAGGAUUAGAUACCCGAGUAGUC
rnacentral:rRNA from 1 species